ACGCUCGACACCUACGGGACAGCAGUGGGGAAUAUUGCACAAUGGGGGAAACCCUGAUGCAGCGACGCCGCGUGAGCGAAGAAGUAUCUCGGUAUGUAAAGCUCUAUCAGCAGGGAAGAAGAUGACGGUACCUGACUAAGAAGCACCGGCUAAAUACGUGCCAGCAGCCGCGGUAAUCUGAGCGGGCUGGCAAGGC
rnacentral:rRNA from 1 species